rnacentral:tRNA from 1 species
GAGAAGGUGGCUCAGUGGUAGAGUGCUUGCCUAGCAUGCAUGAGGACCUGGGUUCGAUUUCCACAUACACA